UACGGAGGGUGCAAGCGUUAUCCGGAUUUAUUGGGUUUAAAGGGUCCGUAGGCGGAUCUGUAAGUCAGUGGUGAAAUCUCACAGCUUAACUGUGAAACUGCCAUUGAUACUGCAGGUCUUGAGUAAGGUAGAAGUGGCUGGAAUAAGUGGUGUAGCGGUGAAAUGCAUAGAUAUUACUUAGAACACCAAUUGCGAAGGCAGGUCACUAUGUCUUAACUGACGCUGAUGGACGAAAGCGUGGGGAGCGAACAGG
rnacentral:rRNA from 1 species